GGAAAGAUGGCUGAGCGGCCGAAGGCACGUCCCUGCUAAGGACGCGUACCCUUUUUGGGUACCGAGGGUUCGAAUCCCUCUCUUUCCG
rfam:Chlamydiae bacterium RIFCSPHIGHO2_12_FTLL_49_32 rifcsphigho2_12_scaffold_6468, whole genome shotgun sequence.